GGAUUGCAGGCUGCAACUCGCCUGCAUGAAGCUGGAAUUGCUAGUAAUCGCGGAUCAGCAAGCCGCGGUGAAUACGUUCCCGGGCCUUGUACACACCGCCCGUCACACCAUGAGAGUCGGGAACACCCGAAGUCCGUAGUCUAACCGCAAGGGGGGCGCGGCCGAAGGUGGGUCCGGUAAUUGGGGUGAAGUCGUAACAAGGUACC
rnacentral:rRNA from 1 species